CCUGGGUCUUCUCCAUUUCAGGUACAAUGAAGAAUUCCGUCAAACCUAAGAAGACUGCAUCCUGAAGGGAACUCGGUCAGACUGUCCUUGCAGAGGAGUUUGUUCUGGAGGAAAGCUGCCUGCCACCUGCCUUCCAAGGAACUGCCAGCUUUACCUGGAGAAAAUAGCCCAUCUGCUAAGUUAUACAGCUCUUUCAUUCUUCAGCCCAGGUUACUGGUGAAGAUUUUAUAUGUACAGCCUUGUUUUUAAUACUUCCAGCUGUUCAUUUUUCCUGUGAAAGGAAAUCCCUGGAUAGAGACACAACAAUCCUGAAGACUAAAUCUGACAUGGUGGGCUGGAUGACUAAAGAGGACAAGUAGCAUUUGCAUAUUUUCAAUCCAGGUGCCUGAUUCAAAUGCUCCACUGAAAGCC
rnacentral:lncRNA from 1 species